CCAGAACAGCCCAGACACUCUGAGCCUGAUCAUUCCUUAACAGUUGGCUGUUCCUGGUUCAAAACUUCUCUCUCCUUUUCAAUUAUCUAAAUAAGACUGAAGGAAUGAAGAGUGGCAAAGGCACUAAUUAGUGCAGACAGUGACCCAAAUCUCCAGGAAAAGCUAUGAGAAACCAUCAUGGCAAGCAAUGUGUGAACCACCAUACCUUGAUUUUUUUCUGUGUUUCCUGCAAUAUUCCAGAGGGAAGCAUAGUACAGUAGGAACAAUAAAUCCUAUUCACCUGCCACAAGUGGAAGAGUCAUUUACUUUUUACAAGAAUUAGGGAAUCUACAAAUUCCUUAACAGGUCAAAAAUGUAGUGCAUUAACCAAGGAUAGCAGAAGAAGGGACAUCAAGCGAUAGCUGGCUACAAGGUAGACUCAUGGAAGAUAAAAUCUCAAACCAGCUGUGAAUGGUGCAGUGCUGACCUGGUACAUUAACAUCAUGCAUUCACAGCUGCUGGUCCUGAGCAGAGAAGUCCUCCCUCCCAGCCAGGCACAGCGUGCCUGAAACAUCACAGAAUUCACCAAGGGGAUCACAGACCAGAGAACUGCAUCCAACAGCAGCUCACACCCGCUGCAGGGAGAGCCCAUAACCACCACACGGACAAUAUUGCUCUUUCCUCUCUGGAAAAUUGACCAUCAUCCAGAAAGGAAUGGGAGAUUCAUAGAAUGGAAAAAACUGUAAAGCCUAAUGUCUACAGAGUUCACUUGCUGAGGGAAUAGCCAUGUUCCUGAGUAUUAAUUUUAUGUUACAUACUCUUACAAUAAAAUACAUUAACUAUUUUGGCCAUGAGGGAAGAAGCACUUGCCAGUGAAUGCCCUUAUGAUAACGUGAUUUUGCAAAGGAUCCCUCUGGUCUCACAAUUCUUUUCGUUUCAGUUUCAAAAUGAUCCAGUUUUCAUCUUUCUCCUGUUUACUCCAAACACAAAACUUCUUAUGGUACCCUGGAUUGUGGGAGAAGAAUGUACUACUCCUUUUUAGAUGAGGACACCAGAAACAUGAUUUUACCACCUGAGUCAGUUACAGAAGGUGGAUGUCACUUUCCCUUUCACCUGAACAAAAGCUUAUUUGAUGGCUCACCAUCCUGUGAGUUUGGUAAACAAAGAUGUAGCACUGGUUUCUCUGCUUUAAAUGGAAAUCAAUCUUCCCAAUGUGAGUUAAGUGUGCUACAAAGAAAUAUACCAAACCUGACUGCUCAGUAGUUUAAGGUCUAGAAAGCCUUUGUGGAUCCCACAGGAACUUCAGACUAAUCUCACACUCAGCUCAAUAUAUAGCAUCUCUGAAAAUGGACACAACCAGGACUGCCAUGCCAAAGCCAGGCAAUAGCGCAAGCACUGGAGUCUUCACUUCUGAGGAGGGUUAGGCACAUUGCUCAUGCCUCAGUUAGACCUGUGUGGCAUCUGAAGUGCCGGAGUGUCUUUCUGGAUGUGGGCAUGGGUGCUAAAGAUAACAUUAACAACACAGCAACAGAAGCCCUUCAAGUCCUGGACUGUCAAACAUUGAGUCCUUAGCAACAAAUACCUACUGAGCAGCGAAGGCUGGAUCACAGGAAGAGAUGCUGAGAGUGUUUAAGUCAUUUUGUGACUGCGUAGUGGCUGCUUGUGCAAAAGAUACAUUUUCAAGUGUUUGCAGUACCACAGAAGCCUUGCAGCUGGUUCUGAGUCAUUCUGAGCAUCAGAAAAGGUGAUGAUCAUUAUAGGAAAUGAUCUCCAGUUACUUCAAAAUAUUAUUCUGGAAUGGAAAUUUCUGUGAGUUAUUUGCUCUAGGAGGUAUUUUGUGGUUAUUAGGCUCAUUUCUGUUGUUUUUGCAGAAAAGCACUGCCUACUCCUGCCCACGACUCUGCAAUGAUAGGCACAGCUGCAUCCCAUGAAGACUUACCAAAGCAUGAUUUAAAGAAAGCCAAUAAACAAAACAACAAAUAAUAGCUCGCUCAGCAGAUGCUGAACAUAGUGUCUUAUGCUGGAACAUUCUGGGAUUCUUCCUCCUUACAUCACUGCUGUGAAUAUUCACCAAAGCUCUCACAAAUCAGAGGCUUUAGCACCUAAGAGGACCAGAUUCUAUUAUUGCAACCUGAGCCAGAGGAUUCACAUAGCAGCCUCACCAUCACGCUGCUGACUGCUGCCAGUUCUCCUCUUUGUCUCCAGGCUUCCAGGACAAUGGUCUGGUCUGUUCCUUCCUGGAUAAAUUUAUCCCAGCUGUUCAGCUAAGAGAUUAUACAAGAUCACAUAAGUGCUUGUUGGAGAUGAGGAUUGCUUCCAGGCCUAGGAGCAGAAGCAUAGAGGCCAAGCAGCUGGGACUACUUGCUGGUUGAAAAUGUACUGAAGGUACAAAAUACCAAUCUUGCAAAAUUUUCAAAGAAAAUUUUCCUGACACUGACUUCCAUUCUACUGCAUUCUAAUAUCCAAAAGGAAAUGGUAGCAGUUUCUUGACUUAGGCAAUUAAGUUUCACCUGCUGAAUAAAGCUUUUAAAAACAGACUGCAGUGAGUAGCUUUUCCUGGGCAAGAAGACAGCCUCAUAAUAAGGGCUUGCUCUCUCAUAUGUCUAUGGUUCCUGAGAGACUACAGUUAACCAGGUAAUUAAGGUGAAAAAAAGGAGCUUAAAUGGUAGCCUAAACCUGUGAGAAAGGAGAAUGAUUAUAAACAGUGCAGACCAUAUUAAAGAAUUAUA